ensembl:snRNA U6 U6 spliceosomal RNA
GUGCCCCCUCUGGCAGCAUAUAUACUAAAAUUAGAAAGAUACUGAGACAAUUAGCAUGCCCCCACCCCCCUUCCCCCACGCCCCCGCACAAGGAUGACAUGCAAAUUCAUGAAGCUCUCCCGACUUUG